rnacentral:lncRNA from 1 species
GAAGGCCGAGCUGCAGCGGUUGAAGAUCCAGCUGGCAUAUGAGCAGCAGACAGUCAAGGAUGCAGAGGCGGAGUCCGAAGUCCUGAGGAAGAGACUUCGGGAGUCAGAGGGCGAAAGUCGGUGAUUCCACCGGAUGUUCCAGGACAUGCUGCUGAAAAAGAGAGAGCUAGAAGAAGAAGUUGAAAAUUUGAGGCAGUCCCUGAUUAGGAGUGAAGUAAAUAAUUCG